rnacentral:tRNA from 3 species
GAGAAUGCUUGCAAGAACUGCUAAUUCAUGCUCCCAUGACUAACCCCAUGGCUUUCUCA